rnacentral:rRNA from 1 species
GAUCAUUAAUAAUGUCCUUGACAAAACCACUUUGCGCCCUGGCUUCGGCCUUGGUGCUUAGUCAACCCUUUGUGAACCAAAACCUUUCUUUCGCUUCGGCAGCUGGCUUUGCGCGUAAGCUCUGGCCAUAAGCCUGCUGAUGGCACCAAUUUAAACUUGCCUUUGUGAUUUAUGUCUGAUUCCAUUCUAAAUCUUGAAUGAAAAUUAAAACUUUCAACAACGGAUCUCUUGGUUCUCGCAUCGAUGAAGAACGCAGCGAAACGCGAUAGUUAAUGUGAAUUGCAGAAUUCAGUGAAUCAUCGAGUCUUUGAACGCACAUUGCGCCCGUUGGUAUUCCGACGGGCACGUCUGUCUGAGCGUCAUUACAAAGUUUCAGCUUCCUGCUGGUCAUGAGCCUGGCUCGUUCUUAACGGACUCCGGCUUUAAAGUUGCACGCUCUGCGGGCCUGUACCCCUUCCUAGGACAUAGUAUAACUGCUAAUUGUUCAUGAGGUUUGGGUCCGGCUUAACCGCCUGAACAAACUAUUACCACAAAGUUUGACCUCAGAUCAGACGAGGAUACCCGCUGAACUUAAGCAUAUCAAUAAGCGGAGGAAAAGAAACCAACAGGGAUUGCCUCAGUAACGGCGAGUGAAGCGGCAAAAGCUCAAAUUUGAAAUCUGGUACCUUCGGUGCUCGAGUUGUAAUUUGAAGANGAUGCCUCGGUUGUGGCCCCGGCCUAAGUUCCUUGGAACAGGACGUCGCAGAGGGUGAGAAUCCCGUACGCGGUUGGCGGCUUACUUCCAUGUGUGGCUCCUUCGAAGAGUCGAGUUGUUUGGGAAUGCAGCUCAAAAUGGGUGGUAAAUUUCAUCUAAAGCUAAAUACUGGCGAGAGACCGAUAGCGCACAAGUAGAGUGAUCGAAAGAUGAAAAGCACUUUGAAAAGAGAGUUAAACAGUACGUGAAAUUGUUGAAAGGGAAGCGCUUGCAAUCAGACUUGCUUUCAGUUGAUCAACGUUCCUUUUGGUUCGUGCACUCUUCUGUUUGCAGGCCAGCAUCGGUUGGGACGACGGGACAAAGGCGCUGGGAAUGUGGCUCUUCGGAGUGUUAUAGCCCAGGCGUGUAAUGCCCGCCUGCCCCCGACCGAGGACCGCGCUU